CGAAUUUUCAAUAAAGUUUCACAAAAUUCUGAUUUUUUACCGCCGUGAUAAUGAUGACCGAAAAAUGGACAUUUCCAAGUAAAUAUGCGGUUUUCUCAAUAAAUUACAAGUUCUAGUCUAGAGCAACUUAGAACUUGAAAGUUUCUGCAGAUAUAGCAGACGCUUGAAGCAGCAGUUUGUGAAAUUCGGACCGAAAUCGAGUAAAAUCAUGAUUUUUGAUGCUUGGUAAUCGAUCCUCAAAUGAAAAUGACAAAUGAACGCGCCCACGUAGAUGCGCACUCUUCCUGAAAAAUCUUUGUUUACUAAACAGCAGCAGUGAGAAAUGCGCCAGAAGGCUUUAGCAGCUUUGGGAGAAAGCUCCAAUUAGGGCACGGAAAAAUUGGUAUCUACGGUGCGCCACUGGAUCCCACAUAAGUGCUCCCAUUUGCCGGAUUUUCCAAACUGGUCUCACUUAUUAAGAAGGACGUUUGUCGACCUUUUGAAUUAGAUGAAUAUUUGAAAGACUGAAAAAGCUUCGAAGACAAGUUUCCUUUCUGAGAAACUUCUUACCUGUAAAGCCGCAUAUAGAAAGUUUAAAUAUUCUUCUGCUGGAUGCACUGGUGACUGUUUGAGCACAGAAUAAUGUUUUUAAGAUUAGCAACAAACGAGCCUUAUCUGGGUAUAAUUAGAUAAAAGUGGCGCUUACAGUAUCGCCAACAUAAUAAAAACAAUGGGGCUCGCUGCCCGAUUAAUGAAA